GAUGAACGCUGGCGGCGUGCCUAAUACAUGCAAGUCGAGCGAACAGACGAGGAGCUUGCUCCUUUGACGUUAGCGGCGGACGGGUGAGUAACACGUGGGUAACCUACCUAUAAGACUGGGAUAACUUCGGGAAACCGGAGCUAAUACCGGAUAAUAUUUCGAACCGCAUGGUUCGAUAGUGAAAGAUGGCUUUGCUAUCACUUAUAGAUGGACCUGCGCCGUAUUAGCUAGUUGGUAAGGUAACGGCUUACCAAGGCAACGAUACGUAGCCGACCUGGGAGGGUGACCGGCCACACUGGAACUGGGACACGGUCCAGACUCCUACGGGAGGCAGCAGUAGGGAAUCUUCCGCAAUGGGCGAAAGCCUGACGGAGCAACGCCGCGUGAGUGAUGAAGGUCUUCGGAUCGUAAAACUCUGUUAUUAGGGAAGAACAAACGUGUAAGUAACUGUGCACGUCUUGACGGUACCUAAUCAGAAAGCCACGGCUAACUACGUG
rnacentral:rRNA from 1 species